rnacentral:rRNA from 1 species
AUACGUAGGGGACGAGCGUUGUCCGGAAUUACUGGGCGUAAAGGGCGCGCAGGCGGAUAUUUAAGUCAGCUGUAAAAGGCAUGAGCUCAACUCAUGUAUGCGGUUGAAACUGGGUAUCUAGAGUGCUGGAGAGGUAGGCGGAAUUCCCGGUGUAGCGGUGAAAUGCGUAGAUAUCAGGAAGAAUACCAGUGGCGAAGGCGGUUUGCUGGCUGCAUACUGACGCUGAAGCGCGAAAGCCAGGGGAGCAAACGGGAUUAGAUACCCCGGUAGUCCUGGCAGUAAACGAUGUAUGCUGGGUGUGAGACUAGCGAUAGUUUCGUGCCGAAGUUAACGCGAUAAGCAUACCGCCUGGGGAGUACGGUCGCAAGAUUGAAACUUAAAGGAAUUGGCGGGG